rnacentral:rRNA from 1 species
CGUCACACUAUCAUUAACUGAAUCCAUAGGUUAAUGAGGCGAACCGGGGGAACUGAAACAUCUAAGUACCCCGAGGAAAAGAAAUCAACCGAGAUUCCCCCAGUAGCGGCGAGCGAACGGGGAGGAGCCCAGAGCCUGAAUCAGCAUGUGUGUUAGUGGAAGCGUCUGGAAAGGCGCGCGAUACAGGGUGACAGCCCCGUACACAAAAGCGCAUGUGCUGUGAGCUCGAUGAGUAGGGCGGGACACGUGGUAUCCUGUCUGAAUAUGGGGGGACCAUCCUCCAAGGCUAAAUACUCCUGACUGACCGAUAGUGAACCAGUACCGUGAGGGAAAGGCGAAAAGAACCCCGGCGAGGGGAGUGAAAAAGAACCUGAAACCGUGUACGUACAAGCAGUGGGAGCACCCUUUUGGGUGUGACUGCGUACCUUUUGUAUAAUGGGUCAGCGACUUAUAUUCUGUAGCAAGGUUAACCGAAUAGGGGAGCCGCAGGGAAACCGAGUCUUAACC